UUCAAAUAAAGCUUAAAUUAUAAUUUUAAAGUUUUGUAUAGUUUAAGCUUACUGUUAGUUAGUCUGUGAAUUAAUUUGAGUCUAAAUUUUUCACUUCUAUUCUUCAUGGUUUUCAAGUUCAACCAUGCAUGAUUAAAGUUUUGUAUGAAAAAUUAUGGUUGUUUUAAUUUUUUUCUUAUGUAUCUUCGUGUUUUAUAGAUAAAAAACAUGUGAUAUUUAUAAAUUGUCUAAUUUCUAAACAAAGAAUUUUUAUUUUUUUGUGUUACAGUUUAUUGUUUUGCAUUGCUAUACAGGAUGCAAAGCUGAUGCUGUGGAUUUUGACAUGGAAAGUCUUUUUUCUUUUUCUGUUAAUGUUUGGGUGUUAUUUCAGUGACAGGUUUUGAUGGGUUUUCAGGCGGUGACGAUCGGAUGGAGCGGGGAUCUGGUUUUGAGAAACUUGAGGAUGAGAGGAGAGUGAGAAUUGAGUCGUUGCAAAAGAAAGCUCUCGAUACUUGCAGCGCACUUCUUUCCUUCUGUUUUCCACUUGCCCUAUCAUGAUAUAGCUAUCUCGAGAAGGAUUUUUUUUAUUUGCAUUAUGUUCUGCGUCUUCCAGUUUCCUACCAAGCCUCUGCUUUCUCUUAUUUGUGUAUUUUUGCAGGCUAGGUUUGCAUGCAUUUCGCUGUGCUUUGCAUCGAGCAGUUGGUGUAGGCUAUGCAUUCCUGCCUGUUCUGGGUUUCACUCCCAUCCAGGUGCAUGUAUGAGGGCCUAUCUUGCUUUCUUGACCAAACUCAAACCUGUUGUUGAUGAUCAAGUUAGCGUGGAAUCUGACGGUGAUUGAUACCAAGAGCAUGCUUUGCCAGAUAGGGAUGUUGAAUGGCCUCCAACAACUAAGAGAAGGGGGAAUCUCAUUGGCAAUCUUGGCAGAAGGAACUGACUCACAAUCCAAAAACUCAACAUGUAAAUUUCCCUUCAGUGCGAUAUUUGAUUGGUUGAGCUGGUUCAGUUUGGAAAUAGUGAUUUUAUGUCGGGAAAUAGGACUUGCUCUGUAACUGGUGCUGGAGAAUGUCUUCUGAUAUGGUUCCUAUGCAUAGCUCUUCUGUGCGAGGGAUGCAAGAUGAGUUGCAUGCUGUAUUUUUUUUGUAAAUAAAUUCAUGAUUUGUCAUUGGGUUCUUACUAGUCUGUUGUCUCUACAUUCUUCUUACCGUGUGGCUAUUCUUAAUAAAAAAUCAAAGGUUUGAAGAAGCACCAUUGCUUGAUUUGCUGGCCUAGACAACCACGACAAAUCAUUUGCUCAGCUGGGUGGAAGUUAUUUCCUGUACUGAGAAACAAAAAAGACUUGCCAGUUCUGGUUCCCAGACCACAUAUUGCAUUGUUUUUCCUGACACAGUCGUGUUUUUUUUCUUUAGAAAUCGAUCCCGACAUGAUUGAUGUGUUGAAGAACAAAUUUCUCCUGAAGAUGGUUAGGUCUGUUGGCGAGGGUGUCAUGCGCAUGAUGCCCUCUUCUCUUCUGGAACUAUUAACAGAAAUAACGAAGCUAAGAGGACAACCUCCCUAGCUCCUGAAAAGCAGAAAAUAUCAGGGUACUUAGCGCAAUCUGGACGGGGUAUGAAAUGCAGGGGCUUUACUUCUUGAUCUUGACAUUUUGGAAGCUUCAGCAAUGCUUGAUCAUUUAGCUAGCAGACAUUUUUGGCCUUUCCUGCUCUGUAAAUUAUGUCGACAGUCGUGUAAUGAAGAAAGAAGACCUUGCAAUAUUAAUUGUAAAUAUCAAUUGUUAACUAAAGUAACCCAAGUUUGAUAUAAUUUAGGUUAAUCGUAGACAAAAGUUCAUGU